CUCUUCAUGGUUCAGACCUAAAAUAAAAGUUACACAAGUUUCAGCUGCUACUGCUAUCAUAUAUUCACAUUGUCCUAAAUUCAUGAGCAUUGGCAUUUUGCAAGUUGCUAUGCUAUCCCAAUUUCACAAACAAUUGGAAAUGCUCACCUCAAUUUGUAGAUUGAGCUGCAGAGGAAUGGAGCGCUGGAACUGUGCCUCCCUCUCCUUGCUGGUUGCUGCAGGCAGCAGGCUAUAGCCGCCCUUCGCGGCUCUGCCUUUGGCUUUCAGUGGCGUCCCUCGUUGUCAUCGAUUCGCCGGGUGAAGGACGAAGGAGACUAGGAGAAGACCACUCCGCCG
rnacentral:lncRNA from 1 species